rnacentral:tRNA from 1 species
UCCUCAGUAGCUCAGUGGUAGAGCGAUCGGCUGUUAACCGAUUGGUCGUAGGUUUGAAUCCUACUUGGGGAG